AUUGAACGCUGGCGGCAGGCCUAACACAUGCAAGUCGAGCGGGGUUUUCGGACCUAGCGGCGGACGGGUGAGUAAUGCGUAGGGAGCUGCCCGAUAGAGGGGGAUACCAGUUGGAAACGACUGUUAAUACCGCAUAAUGUCUACGGACCAAAGUGUGGGACCUUCGGGCCACAUGCUAUCGGAUGCGCCUACGUGGGAUUAGCUAGUUGGUGAGGUAAUGGCUCACCAAGGCGACGAUCUCUAGCUGGUUUGAGAGGAUGAGCAGCCACACUGGAACGGGGACACGGUCCAGACUCCUACGGGAGGCAGCAGUGGGGAAUAUUGGACAAUGGGCGGAAGCCUGAUCCAGCCAUGCCGCGGGUGUGAAGAAGGCCUGCGGGUUGUAAAGCACUUUCAGCGAGGAGGAAGGGUGGUGUGUUAAUAGCACAUCAUUUUGACGUUACUCGCAGAAGAAGCACCGGCUAACUCUGUGCCAGCAGCCGCCGUAAUAC
rnacentral:rRNA from 1 species